GGUGAGAUGGCCGAGCGGUCUAAGGCGCCACGUUAAGGUCCUCCUUAAUCAACAUCUUCUAGCAAGAUUCCGUGGUCCGAAAGGGCGUGGGUUCGAAUCCCACUCUCAUCA
rnacentral:tRNA from 1 species